AUUUACGCUUUUUAAGAAGGUCCAUAUUUACGCUUUUUAAGAAGGUCCAUAUUUACGCUUUUUAAGAAGGUCCAUAUUUACGUUAUAAGAAGGUCCAUAUUUACGUUAUAAGAAGGUCCAUAUUUACGUUAUAAGAAGGUCCAUAUUUACGUUAUAAGAAGGUCCAUAUUUACGUUAUAAGAAGGUCCAUAUUUACGUUAUAAGAAGGUCCAUAUUUACGUUAUAAGAAGGUCCAUAUUUACGUUAUAAGAAGGUCCAUAUUUACGUUAUAAGAAGGUCCAUAUUUACGUUAUAAGAAGGUCCAUAUUUACGUUAUAAGAAGGUCCAUAUUUACGUUAUAAGAAGGUCCAUAGUUACGCUUUUUAAGAAGGUCCAUAUUUACGUUAUAAGAAGGUCCAUAUUUACGUUAUAAGAAGGUCCAUAUUUACGUUAUAAGAAGGUCCAUAGUUACGCUUUUUAAGAAGGUCCAUAUUUACGUUAUAAGAAGGUCCAUAUUUACGUUAUAAGAAGAGGCAUUUACGUAUCACUCAGGCACAUAUUCUCAGGCAUUUCGGAACUCGCACACCAACGCACGCACCCACAUCUGAUAAGGCUUUCGUUGAGGUUGUUGUGUGGGUAUUUCCCUGGGUAGCUUUAUGAGCCUAGUGAGAUGAGUCUUCUGCACCAUGAACGAGGAAAACACUCAUGGGAACAUCGGGUUAGGUUAUAUAAUGUUAGGGAAGGUUAGUGGUUUGGUUAGGAUGGGUAAGGUUAGGUUCGGUGGUGUUUUGGUUAGAUUAUUUUAGGAUAAGAUUAGAUUAGGUAAGGAUAGUAUAACGUUGUUGGAAAUAUACCACAUUACAUGAAUACAAUUUAGAAAUGCGAUAAUGAAUGUCUUCUACAUGAUGACGAUGAUGACGACGAGGUAAAACAUCAUGAACAGUCUGAAACACUUUUUCUUAUUAAACUUUGAAAAUACCGCGUGCAAUGCUGUCCUUCACAGAGGCAGGCAGUGACUAAUGCUCCUUACCAUCAAACAGCAAAUAGGCUUGAGGGUCUGCUUAACUAGCAGCCUCAACCGUCACUAUAAAGCCUUAAAGACAAUUCAGAUCAUCAAAAAUCUAAAAUCAUUUCUCUUUGAAGAUUACGUAAUAUCUAAGUAUAAAUGUGUGUGUGUGUGUGUGUGUGUGUGUGUGUGUGUGUGUGUGUGUGUUGAGUGCGAUCGCGGAAAAGCCCACGGUCGACGACGCCAUCAUGUGAACGUUUAUAGCCUAUUAUUACGUAUAAUUUUUUUAAUAAAAAACAAGAUCGGCUAUCAGGGAUUUAUUUUUGAAGUCAAAAGGCACAUCAAUCUCCCUUAAUAAGUGCAGUAUAUUUUUAUAUGUAUCACAGUUUGAUAAACAACUUAGAAUUGCUCUUGACUAAAUUUGACCGAAACUAAAAGCUCGUGUCAAAAUGUAGCGACAGAGCCUAAAGAAAAAAUAUUUAUUAAGCGUUAGCGACGGGCUUUUUUGAUAAAUAUCUAUCUUAAAAUUAUGUAGAGUGCACCUGUGACCACCGAUCACCACAACAGUACGAUUUCGAUAGGAUAUAAUAAUUUUCAUGUCGCGUGGAGGGAUUGCCAGAUGUCGCUUUCUGAACGAAACUUACUGGACAGUGUGACA